AUUUUAACGAGGUGGUAAAAUAUCCCAGAGUAUGCUAAAGACCAAAAUAUUGUAAAAAAGAAAUAAAGAGUAUGCUAAAGACCAAAAUAUUGUAAAAAAAAAUUAAAUUAAUGGACUUUAGGUUUUACCUUAAAUAAUUUGAUUCACAUGAGAGACUAAAACAUCCAUGUAGGAUCUGAACUGCUGGGGGAGGAGGCUUGGUUCUGACAACAGCAAUGACGCAGCUGUGUGGUGAGGAGGUGCUUUGUGGCACGGGGUGGAAACGUCUGGAAGAGAUACCAACCCCACUCAGGCUUGUUCUUCCCCUAAUUGCCUGACUUUUAUUGAGGAAUACACAAAACGAGCACUUAAAAUUAGAUUCUGAGAGCUCUUGCUUAAAUGAAGAGACUGUCAAUAUUUGCAGAGCGAUGCUCCGGCUCGCCCAGACGGUAUCCGAGUACACGGCACUUGAAUGGCUGAAUGCAUGGAGCACUCUCUUCCCUUUCUCUGCUUAAUGAAAAACAAAAUGGGGAGAGCCUGGUUUUGCUUUUCAGGCUCAUUGUGUUCAUGUUUUUUCCAGAUUCUCACAAACUUGGUCUUGACUUCUCAGAAGCUACUUCAAACAGCAAACUCAGCACAAUGAUGAAAUACUCAGAGCAGACAUUGACUGGUUCUGGAAGCAGAGCAGGAGUGCAUUGCCUGAAGGCUGAAUUGAAUUGUAACACAGCUUGAUCUUGCCAGGACGGCAAGGUAAAGCCUCCCACACAACACCCUUGCUUCUUGAACUUUUAUCACUAAGAAAUUAUCAUUUUGAAGCUGAUGGGCAUUAACAUCCCAGGUGGUUGGCAUCUCUUUGUGAAUUUUUUAUUUUACUUUGCUAGAAUAGCAAAGGCAUCUCUUUGUGGUUUUAUUAUCUUGCUUUGCUAGAAUAGCAAGAGCCUGGUCUGGAGCAAUUUCAUGCUUCUCAGGUAGGGCCAGACUCUGUAGGAUCUGUAAUAUUACAAGCUCAAAGCAUCCACAGUGAAGGCUUCUACCCUCUAAUCUUUCUGUGCUCAAAGCAUUUCUCAUCCAUUCCUGACCUCUGAUCUUCUUGGAUCUCUGGCUUUUGCAGGCAGUCAGUUGUCCUCCCUUGCAAAACCUUCCCCGCCUCUGUCUCCCCAGUGACGUGGGGUUGAUUCUGACACAGGGGAUAGAAAAUCUUGCAGCCCACAGCAGGGGAUAGAAAGUCUUGCAUGCCUGCUUCCCUGCCCUGCUGCAUCUGUCACCCUGCACAGGUGCAGCUGGGUCCCUGUGCUGGGAGCAGCCAGAGCAUGGGCGUGGUUCAUGCAACAGCACUUCCCGCCUCUUCC
rnacentral:lncRNA from 1 species